AUAUUUCUUUCAUCGUUUACAUUGUUUGAAAGUUUGAUAAAAAGGAAUUGUCCAUAUUUCUUUGAUCGUUUACAUUCGUUGGUUAGCAUUGCUUAGCCUAAGUUUAUGGUUAGGAAUUGUCCAUAUUUCUUUGAUCUUUUACAUUGGUUAGCUUAAGUUUGUGGUUGUGUCUGGUCUGAAAUGAAUCGUUUGUAAUGGUUUGGUUAGAUUAAUAAAUGGUCACGUUAGCUUAAGUUUAUGGUUGUGUCUGCUCUGAAUACAAAAAUCUCUAUUAAAUGGUUUGGUUAGCUUAAGUUUAUGGUUGUGUCUGCUCUAUUAAAUGUGUGUUAGAUAAAUGUCAACUCCAUUUGGUUGGGUCGAUCUAUUAAACACAACGCUUUUGAUUCUCUCUAUUAAACACAACGCUUUUGUAAUGGUUUCUACAAAGUGUUCAUACUUCUCUUCUUCUCUUCUACUCUUCAAUCCAUCAACGCUUUUGUUUCUCUCUUCUACGCUAUUGUUUCUCUCUUCUACAAAGUGUUCAUACUUCUAUUUUUCUCUUCUACUCUUCCAUCCAUCAACGCUUUUGUUUCUCUCUUCUCUUCCCGUAAUGAAUGUGUUUACCGCUUUGUCUUAAACACAUGAUAGUGUAGUUGGUUGGUGCUCUUAAAUGCGUUGAUCCUGCUCUCUAUAAACUCUUUCUUUCUCCUCUUUCUUCAACAUCAUUCGCUAGAGUGUUUCACAAUCAUCGCCACAAGUUCCUGUCUUAGAUAGUCAUGGUGAAGAGGCGUCUGAAAAAUGUAAAGAAAGAAGGACGUGGACGCCCAGUGAUGAUGUUCAGCUCAUCAGCUCGUGGUUGAACACGAGCAAAGACCCCGUUGUGGGAAAUGAGCAGAGGUCGUCUGCUUUCUGGACAAGUCUCCAAUCGACCCACAGGUGUUAAGGCAGCUAAAGCCCGUGGUAAGAGGACGAUGGUAGAGGGGAAGGACUUGGAUGGCUUUCAGACCAUGUGGAGCAUAAAGAAGGAGGAUUUAGCAAUGAAAGAAAAACUGUAAAAAAUGAGGCUCCUAGAGAAUCUCAUUGCUAAAGAAUAACUUGCUGAGUAUGAGGAAGCGUUGAAGCAAAAACUCAUUUCUGAGUUAUUGUCUAAUUAGUUUAAGUAACAAAUUAGUUUAAGUAGCUUAUGUUUAAGUUGCUCUUGUUGUAAGUGUUCUGUUUUACUUGCUGUCUUUGUUGGAGUUAAUGUGUUUCUUAAUUUAAAUGGAGUUAAUGUAUGUGUUUCUUAAUUUAAAUGGAGUUAAUGUAUGUCUUA